AUGUAGCACGCCUACGUUGCGGUUCUGGGCGCGCCGGCCUUACCCGCCUGACGACUGCUCGCUACGUUCUGGUAGCC
rnacentral:sRNA from 1 species